AGAGUUUGAUCAUGGCUCAGAGCGAACGCUGGCGGCAUGCCUAACACAUGCAAGUCUGACGGGUGGAGCAAUCCAUCAGUGGCGGACGGGUGAGUAACGCGUAGGAACGUAUCCAGGGGUGGGGGACAACGCUGGGAAACCGGCGCUAAUACCGCAUGUGUCCUGUGGGACAAAGCCGAGAGGCGCCUUUGGAGCGGCCUGCGUCCGAUUAGGUUGUUGGUGGGGUAAUGGCCUACCAAGCCUGCGAUCGGUAGCUGGUCUGAGAGGACGACCAGCCACACUGGGACUGAGACACGGCCCAGACUCCUACGGGAGGCAGCAGUGGGGAAUAUUGGGCAAUGGGCGAAAGCCUGACCCAGCAAUGCCGCGUGGGUGAAGAAGGUCUUCGGAUUGUAAAGCCCUUUCGGCGGGGACGAUGAUGACGGUACCCGCAGAAGAAGCCCCGGCUAACUUCGUGCCAGCAGCCGCGGUAAUACGAAGGGGGCUAGCGUUGCUCGGAAUUACUGGGCGUAAAGGGCGCGUAGGCGGCACCUGUAGUCAGGCGUGAAAUUCCUGGGCUCAACCUGGGGGCUGCGCUUGAUACGCGGGAGCUAGAGGACGGGAGAGGCUCGUGGAAUUCCCAGUGUAGAGGUGAAAUUCGUAGAUAUUGGGAAGAACACCGGUGGCGAAGGCGGCGAGCUGGCCCGUAACUGACGCUGAGGCGCGACAGCGUGGGGAGCAAACAGGAUUAGAU
rnacentral:rRNA from 1 species